CCUACGGGUGGCAGCAGUGGGGAAUAUUGCACAAUGGGCGCAAGCCUGAUGCAGCCAUGCCGCGUGUGUGAAGAAGGCCUUCGGGUUGUAAAGCACUUUCAGCGGGGAGGAAGGCGUUAAGGUUAAUAACCUUGGCGAUUGACGUUACCCGCAGAAGAAGCACCGACUAACUCCGUGCCAGCAGCCGCGGUAAUACGGAGGGUGCAAGCGUUAAUCGGAAUUACUGGGCGUAAAGCGCACGCAGGCGGUCGGUCAAGUCGGAUGUGAAAUCCCCGGGCUCAACCUGGGAACUGCAUUCGAAACUGGCAGGCUCGAGUCUUGUAGAGGGGGGUAGAAUUCCAGGUGUAGCGGUGAAAUGCGUAGAGAUCUGGAGGAAUACCGGUGGCGAAGGCGGCCCCCUGGACAAAGACUGACGCUCAGGUGCGAAAGCGUGGGGAGCAAACAGGAUUAGAUACCCCUGUAGUC
rnacentral:rRNA from 1 species